GUGAACGCUGGCGGCGUGCCUAAUACAUGCAAGUCGAACGAACGAAUAAGAGCUUGCUCUUAUAAGUUAGUGGCGCACGGGUGAGUAAUAUAUAGCUAAUCUGCCUCUUAGUAGAGGAUAACAGUCGGAAACGAUUGCUAAUACUCUAUACUUCUGCUUUACAUAAGUAAAGUAGAGAAAGUUUUUCGCUAAGAGAUGAGGCUAUACUGUAUCAGCUAGUUGGUAAGGUAACGGCUUACCAAGGCUAUGACGCAUAACUGGUCUGAGAGGAUGAUCAGUCACAUUGGAACUGAGACACGGUCCAAACUCCUACGGGAGGCAGCAGUAGGGAAUAUUGCGCAAUGGGGGAAACCCUGACGCAGCAACGCCGCGUGGAGGAUGACACUUUUCGGAGCGUAAACUCCUUUUAUCGGGAAAGAAUAAUGACGGUACCCGAUGAAUAAGCACCGGCUAACUCCGUG
rnacentral:rRNA from 1 species